rnacentral:rRNA from 1 species
AACGUAGGAGCCAAACGUUAUCCGGAGUUACUGGGCGUAAAGGGCGUGUAGGUGGUUUUGUAAGUCUGGCGUGAAAUUUUUCGGCUUAACCGGGAAAGGUCGUCGGAUACUGCAAGGCUAGAGGACGGUAGAGGCGUGUGGAAUUCCGGGUGUAGUGGUGAAAUGCGUAGAGAUCCGGAGGAACACCAGUGGCGAAGGCGGUUCUCUGGGCAUUACCUGACGCUGAGGAGCGAAAGUGUGGGGAGCGAACAGG